UGGCGCCCUAAGAUAAACCCAAGGAUAAUCCAGCAGUGAAAAGCCACGGAGUCCAAAGUUUUCAGAGCUGAACUCGCAAGAACCUGUGAACUUCCAGCAUUUCCCCAGUUAAAAGAAAACAAAUAAGGGCAGAAGAAAUAAGAAAGAGAAAAGAGAAAUGCACCUCCACGUUCAUGGCAACAAUCACGUGACCCGGUGCCCCAGGUUUCCAAGGAGCUGAUCUGCAUGUACACAGGUAGUGUUCCCAGGCACGGAGGACGCAAAUGGGCUCGCAGUUCAGUAAACAGCAAGUGGGCCCCAGGAGACAGUAGCCUCCUGUAAAGAAAAGAACCAGAGGUCCAGAAAAUUUCCUGCCCUUGCUGCCAGAGAAAUUUACUAUGUCUCCAAGUAUAAGUGAGGGUUCUGAAGUCCAGAGAGGUGAUUUUUCCAGGGCUGCAGCUCACCAGUGACAGAGCACAGACCUGGACUUCCUGACAUCCCACCUCCACGGUCUCCUGCUCCUGCCUACAUUUGGACACCAAUAACCCUCGUCUGUCUGAAGUCAAACUUCUUGUGAUUGCUUUGGGAAACGAUAACUGAAUUAAAAAGGAGUUGGCAGUGCUGUGUGCGUGUGUCCAUUUUCAAUAAACACUAAACUUCAGAGGUAUAAUGCCUCCCAGCAGACAUAAUACUAUAGCCAUUGGAAGAACCCUAAGUGAAAAAAAAAACCAACAGUCUGCAUACCACAAUUAUGGAUGCACAGUAGGGCACAGAGCAGCCAUUCUCAAAGUGGCAUCUGCAGACUGCUGGGGGUUCACAUUCUAUGAGGUCAAGGUCAUUUUCAAAAUAAUACUAAAACGUGAUUUGCCCUUUUCACUCUGUUGACAUUUUUCACUAUAUGCUACGACAAAAGCAGUGGUGGGUACAACCACUGACACUUUAUACGAAUCAAGGCAGGGACAUCAACUAUAUGAGUUACUAGAUUAUUCGCUCUCAUGUGCUUAACUGUAAAAAACAAAGAAAAAGCCAGUUCACUUAAGAAUACCCUAGAGAUGGGGCGCCUGGGUGGCUCAGUCGGUUGAGCAGCCAACUUCGGCUCAGGUCAUGAUCUCACAGUCCAUGAGUUCGAGCCCCGCGUCGGGCUCUGUGCUGACAGCUUGGAGCCUGGAGCCUGUUUCGGAUUCUGUGUCUCCCUCUCUCUGACCCUCCCCCGUUCAUGCUCUGUCUCUCUCUGUCUCAAAAACAAAUAAACGUUAAAAAAAAAAAAUUUUUUUUUAAAAAAGAAUACCCUAGAGAAAGAACAUGCAUUUCUGAUUCUGUGGGACACAACAGAAAGCACGCAUAAAGCUCUUUCCCUGUGUGCCCAAGUAUGAUGGCUGAGAAAAAGCUCUGUGUGAUUAUUUACGUUUUGAGCUGAACUACAUUUUCAUACAACGCUAUUUUUACUUGGAAAAAAACAGCUACUAAGCUAUACAUAUAUAUAA